UACAAUAUGUCGUGUUAUUUAUAAAAUUAUGGAAUGGUAGAAAUAUAUACUAAUGCUAUUCCUUCUCCUUUCAGAUAAAAACUUUGUUAUGAGAUCCCUUCAGGGACAGAUAUUCACCUUUAUAUUUCAUCACUUCCAGCACUACGUGAAGUCAAAAUAAAGGACUACCACUUAUGGACUUUAACUGAUCUUUUAUUAUGUUCUUUUUGAUGGGCAUUUUUGAUAAAAAUAUUUUCACUAAAUUUUUCUACUAAACAGGUUUUUACUGCAAUAUCUUUUAACAUUGUCCUUUUUAACUGCAUUUUCCACUAUGAAAUUUUAUAUCAGUGUAUUGUUAAUUGGCACCUGGAUGCAUAUUUUUUCACUUUAACAUUGCAUUUUAAAUGGCAUCUUGAUAUGUAAAAAUCUUUUUCAAUGCAAAGUACUUUUUUCACAGCAAUGCUUGUUAAAUAUGCUAAUUUGUUAAUUGCACACCCUUUAAAUCAUGUCUGCACUUGUCCACACUAUGCUUGACAAAGGGGCGUGACCCCGAAACGUUGCACUACUGCAUAAUAAAAUUGCAAGGGCUUGCCCUGCUACUACAAUUCCUGUGUGCCGGUGAAAUUCUUCUUACCCUUGUUGUGAGGCUGCCGAUUCCUCUAUCACUGGGCACCAGGAUAAGAACCUUUGGGAGUGUGUGGUGUGCGGCUUCUCCAUAUUCUAUUGGACAACACAGAGUUAUCCAAUAUUGUAUUCCAUCACCACUACCCACAUCACUAACCUGGCAAUGAUCGUUCUAUAUGAGGAACUUGCAAAUCGAUUGAAGAAAUCAAUUGGCAACAAAGGUUGCGGAGUUUCAAUUGCUGAAUGUGUGUAACUUUAUCGAUCAUUGGAUACAAUUGACAGGAGUAGUUUCUAUGGCGCCUAGAGCUCACAGUCACAUGACGCUUCUUUUAAAUAACACACCAUUUCCGGUUUUCCGACCUCUUGACAAAGCCACGUUUGUGGCGAAACGGCUGUCGAGGUGCAGCGCAUGCUGUGUAUGUGAGGAUCCCCUUACGCAGGUCUAAAGUGCCAGGACUGCCACGGAUAAUUCUCACGGAACCGCAGUGGAGACGUCACCACACGCCACCUCACGGACACAUAGUGGGGCCACUCUCGGACUUUCGUUUGGUCGGUAAUAUCUUUACAUUUUUAUUGAGCAGGUCACGCUGUGAGAUAUUAAUAUCUUCAGACACGCCACUCAGGCGUUUUUUGGCAAAUCCAAAUGUCUGCAUCCACCCACACAGGAUUGGGUUCAUCGUGAAGGUUCUGGUUAAUACUGCAGGUGCAUCCCCCUCAACAUCUAACGGUGCAAGCACACCGACAUCUUGAGGAGACUUGUGCUAGAGGGGUGCCCCACACAUAUUUGGCGACUUUUGCACAUUUCAGACCUGGGGAUAUAUGAUCAUUAUGUCUUGGCCACAACUAAUUGAAUAUUAGUACCGGACUGUCUGGGACUGCUUACUCUCUCAAAAAAUUGAGAUUGUGGUUCAUUAUUGGAGCGCUCCGUUUUGGUUCCAGAUACGCUACUUUUACAUUACAGCAUACAAAGUGCUAUCUAUGUUGUGGUCUUGUGAGACCAUUACAAGGGAUCCCUUUUGCACAUGCAGCACUGCUUAGUUUUAUUUUAAUUGGUUUUUAAUUUGAUAUUGGCAUAGUGUUGAAAAAUAAAUAUUGCCUUUUACCAUA